rnacentral:rRNA from 1 species
AGAGUUUGAUCAUGGCUCAGGACGAACGCUGGCGGCGUGCUUAACACAUGCAAGUCGAACGGAGUAUUUUAUUUCGGUAAAAUACUUAGUGGCGAACGGGUGAGUAACGCGUAGACAACCUACCUUUUAGAUGGGGACAACAUCGCGAAAGCGGUGCUAAUACCGAAUGUUGUGUCUUUCCCACAUGGGAAAGCUACUAAAGAUGGCCUCUAUUUAUAAGCUGUCACUAAAAGAUGGGUCUGCGUCUGAUUAGCUAGUUGGCGGGGUAAAUGCCCACCAAGGCGACGAUCGUAGCCGGUCUGAGAGGAUGAACGGCCACAUUGGGACUGAGACACGGCCCAAACUCCUACGGGAGGCAGCAGUGGGGAAUCUUCCGCAAUGGACGAAAGUCUGACGGAGCAACGCCGCGUGAGUGAAGAAGGUUUUCGGAUCGUAAAGCUCUGUUGUUUGAGACGAGCGUGCAGUAUACGAAUAAUGUGCUGUAAUGACGGUAUCAAACUAGAAAGCCACGGCUAACUACGUGCCAGCAGCCGCGGUAAUACGUAGGUGGCAAGCGUUGUCCGGAAUUAUUGGGCGUAAAGGGAGCGCGGGUGGGAAUGUAAGUCAGUCUUAAAAGUGCGGGGCUCAACCCCGUGAUGGGACAGAAACUACAUUUCUUGAGUGCAGGAGAGGAAAGUGGAAUUCCUAGUGUAGCGGUGAAAUGCGUAGAUAUUAGGAGGAACACCAGUGGCGAAGGCGACUUUCUGGACUGUAACUGACACUGAGGCUCGAAAGCUAGGGGAGCGAACGGGA